rnacentral:rRNA from 1 species
AGAGUUUGAUCCUGGCUCAGGACGAACGCUGGCGGCGUGCCUAAUACAUGCAAGUCGAGCGAGCUUGCCUAGAUGAUUUUAGUGCUUGCACUAAAUGAAACUAGAUACAAGCGAGCGGCGGACGGGUGAGUAACACGUGGGUAACCUGCCCGAGAGACUGGGAUAACACCUGGAAACAGAUGCUAAUACCGGAUAACAACACUAGACGCAUGUCUAGAGUUUGAAAGAUGGUUCUGCUAUCACUCUUGGAUGGACCUGCGGUGCAUUAGCUAGUUGGUAAGGUAACGGCUUACCAAGGCAAUGAUGCAUAGCCGAGUUGAGAGACUGAUCGGCCACAUUGGGACUGAGACACGGCCCAAACUCCUACGGGAGGCAGCAGUAGGGAAUCUUCCACAAUGGACGAAAGUCUGAUGGAGCAACGCCGCGUGAGUGAAGAAGGGUUUCGGCUCGUAAAGCUCUGUUGGUAGUGAAGAAAGAUAGAGGUAGUAACUGGCCUUUAUUUGACGGUAAUUACUUAGAAAGUCACGGCUAACUACGUGCCAGCAGCCGCGGUAAUACGUAGGUGGCAAGCGUUGUCCGGAUUUAUUGGGCGUAAAGCGAGUGCAGGCGGUUCAAUAAGUCUGAUGUGAAAGCCUUCGGCUCAACCGGAGAAUUGCAUCA